GAUGGCGACCGGCGCACGGGUGAGUAACACGUAUCCAACCUGCCGAUGACUCGGGGAUAGCCUUUCGAAAGAAAGAUUAAUACCCGAUAGCAUAAUGAUUCCGCAUGGUUUCAUUAUUAAAGGAUUCCGGUAAAGGAUGGGGAUGCGUUCCAUUAGGUUGUUGGUGGGGUAACGGCCCACCAAGCCUUCGAUGGAUAGGGGUUCUGAGAGGAAGGUCCCCCACAUUGGAACUGAGACACGGUCCAAACUCCUACGGGAGGCAGCAUG
rnacentral:rRNA from 1 species